GUGGAGGCCAGGUGAAGGUGGCUUCCAUUGAUGAACGCAUUUAGCUGUUAACCAUCAAACAAAUUGAUACAGUCAAUGUGAAACUGCAAUGAACAGAAGCCAGUUUAUACAACAAAUUGUAAUGUUUUCCUGUUUUUCGUGUAUGUAUGGUUAUUAGAAUUAGGCUCGAUGGAAAAAGGAGCAGUGGGACCCGGCUAUUACCUGGAUAAUUAACCACUUCGCCUCCAUGAAACACAGGAGAAUGGGCUUCUGCAUCAAGUAAAUAAACCCCCUUUUCUGAGCGUCUUGGCUGACAUGUCUGACCAGACUGAUGAGGUGGCAGUCCAAACAUCAGGUUUCCUGUUAAAGGUGUAAGUGGCGGGGAGUGGUGUUUGUCUGUAUUAUCACUGUGAUGGACUGGUUGCCACCCUGCAUGUUGUGAUCAGCCUUCUGCGAGCCGCCACUUGAAGUAAA